AGCAGCAGACUGGGACUAAAGCGUGCGUAGGUGGUGGUUUAAGUCUGCUGUGAAAGCCCUGGGCUCAACCUGGGAAUUGCAGUGGAUACUGGAUCACUAGAGUGUGGUAGAGGGAUGCGGAAUUUCUGGUGUAGCAGUGAAAUGCGUAGAGAUCAGAAGGAACAUCCGUGGCGAAGGCGGCAUCCUGGGCCAACACUGACACUGAGGCACGAAAGCGUGGGGAGCAAACAGGAUUAGAUACCCUGGUAGUCCACGCCCUAAACGAUGCGAACUGGAUGUUGGGUGCAACUUGGCACCCAGUAUCGAAGCUAACGCGUUAAGUUCGCCGCCUGGGGAGUACGGUCGCAAGACUGAAACUAAAUAAUUGACGG
rnacentral:rRNA from 1 species